GAUGAACGCUGGCGGCGUGCCUAAUACAUGCAAGUCGAACGAGUUCUCGUUGAUGAUCGGUGCUUGCACCGAGAUUCAACAUGGAACGAGUGGCGGACGGGUGAGUAACACGUGGGUAACCUGCCCUUAAGUGGGGGAUAACAUUUGGAAACAGAUGCUAAUACCGCAUAGAUCCAAGAACCGCAUGGUUCUUGGCUGAAAGAUGGCGUAAGCUAUCGCUUUUGGAUGGACCCGCGGCGUAUUAGCUAGUUGGUGAGGUAAUGGCUCACCAAGGCGAUGAUACGUAGCCGAACUGAGAGGUUGAUCGGCCACAUUGGGACUGAGACACGGCCCAAACUCCUACGGGAGGCAGCAGUAGGGAAUCUUCCACAAUGGACGCAAGUCUGAUGGAGCAACGCCGCGUGAGUGAAGAAGGCUUUCGGGUCGUAAAACUCUGUUGUUGGAGAAGAAUGGUCGGCAGAGUAACUGUUGUCGGCGUGACGGUAUCCAACCAGAAAGCCACGGCUAACUACGUGCCAGCAGCCGCGGUAAUACGUAGGUGGCAAGCGUUAUCCGGAUUUAUUGGGCGUAAAGCGAGCGCAGGCGGUUUUUUAAGUCUGAUGUGAAAGCCCUCGGCUUAACCGAGGAAGCGCAUCGGAAACUGGGAAACUUGAGUGCAGAAGAGGACAGUGGAACUCCAUGUGUAGCGGUGAAAUGCGUAGAUAUAUGGAAGAACACCAGUGGCGAAGGCGGCUGUCUGGUCUGUAACUGACGCUGAGGCUCGAAAGCAUGGGUAGCGAACAGGAUUAGAUACCCUGGUAGUCCAUGCCGUAAACGAUGAAUGCUAGGUGUUGGAGGGUUUCCGCCCUUCAGUGCCGCAGCUAACGCAUUAAGCAUUCCGCCUGGGGAGUACGACCGCAAGGUUGAAACUCAAAGGAAUUGACGGGGGCCCGCACAAGCGGUGGAGCAUGUGGUUUAAUUCGAAGCAACGCGAAGAACUUUACCAGGUCUUGACAUCUUUUGAUCACCUGAGAGAUCAGGUUUCCCCUUCGGGGGCAAAAUGACAGGUGGUGCAUGGUUGUCGUCAGCUCGUGUCGUGAGAUGUUGGGUUAAGUCCCGCAACGAGCGCAACCCUUAUGACUAGUUGCCAGCAUUUAGUUGGGCACUCUAGUAAGACUGCCGGUAACAAACCGGAGGAAGGUGGGGAUGACGUCAAAUCAUCAUGCCCCUUAUGACCUGGGCUACACACGUGCUACAAUGGAUGGUACAACGAGUUGCGAGACCGCGAGGUCAAGCUAAUCUCUUAAAGCCAUUCUCAGUUCGGACUGUAGGCUGCAACUCGCCUACACGAAGUCGGAAUCGCUAGUAAUCGCGGAUCAGCACGCCGCGGUGAAUACGUUCCCGGGCCUUGUACACACCGCCCGUCACACCAUGAGAGUUUGUAACACCCGAAGCCGGUGGCGUAACCCUUUUAGGGAGCGAGCCGUCUAAGGUGGGACAAAUGAUUAGGGUG
rnacentral:rRNA from 1 species